CCGAAUCUGAGCCCUCCUCAAAUCUCCAAUAAUAAAUACAUAGAUUUCGAAAAAAGGAAAUCUUUCGGCCCUUUUAUUUUGACAUGUGGGCCUUCGAUCCCUGCCUGAAGAGUUCGAUACGGCCCGUGAGACACAGUGAGCCAAGCUGCCUGCUUUAAAUUCGGAUUCAGCGGCCGAAUAAUAAAUAAUACAAGAAUUCUAAUGGCGUGGGAGCUCCUCUUUCGGUUGUGUGCGUUAUUCCUCUUGUCAUCGGUCUCGUCGCUCUUACUGCGUAUCGGUAGAUGAGGAUUUCACAUGCUCUACAACAAUGGUUCCUACAUCCUUUAUGUGCACAAUAAUGGUUUAUGGAGAGGAAGCACCAUAUAAAUGUCACUGAGAUAUUCAGGGUGCUAAAUGCGGAGAAGAAAUACAGGAUGAUCAAGCUUUCUCUAUACCUCAGCAUUUUUGUUAUCAUAAUUUACAAGAUCGUGAUGUCUGCAGUUAUUUUACUGAUGGAUGUACAUGAAGUAGAAUCUGGAAUAUUUUAGGAUGUCAUCUAACAGCUUUCGGCCAGGAAGCUUCGUAACGAUACCUUGUGCCUGAGACGUCAUGCUUCCUGAGGAGAUUGCUCCACUCUCAAUCUUCUAAAGUCCUAUUGGAUUUGAAUUGGUAAAAGCUUUGACAUGGUUAAUUUGGGGACUACAAUUGAGCUGUGAUCUGCUUUCAAAAGUUCCAGCUUACAGCAUGAUCUUUCUUAAGCCUAAAGAUAACGUUGGAUGGUUUAUGCCGUGUGAAUUAUUCGGAAAGAUCAGAACACCAAAGAUUUCGGGGGAGUGGCAAGGGCCUGUGGGUCUACGUUACUCAAUUAACGCCUAGGCAGCUGAGAAAUUCCCGGAUGGUUGGCAGGGCAUUAAACCAGAAUCUCAAUCUGAACCAUUGAUCAAUUUCAGGCAUCAGCUACUGGAUGGAACCACAUUUUCAAGGACUGGGCUCACCAAUUUAGAUGACUGGUACUAUUCGAUGCUGAAUCUAUUCCCCUUAAGGCCAGAAGAUACUAACCCAGAGCUUACUGUGAAGUUAUUAGCUGUGCUUGCAGCAAGUGGCCAAAUAAGCAUUUCUUUAUUCAAGGGGAUUAUCAAAAAGUCAUCAACAACCUCUUAUCCUCCACCACGUUCUAUACUUCAAGAUUACAACCACAUGUUAGCUGCAGUUGAGACUAAGAGCAUCAGCACAUAUUUUUUACAUGGAUACCCUACAAAAGACGUGGGAGAGACCACAACUUUUCUUUGAAAAUUUCCUGUUCAGCUGGGUUGAAUUGGAUAGACUUGGCUGGUGCUAUGUAGGUGAGUGCUCUAAAGAAGAAAGAGAAACCACAAACUUGGUUUGAGAAUUUUCCUUUUCAGCCGGUUGAAUUGGAUAGACUUAGCUGGUGUUUGUUUUGAUGCAACUGGAGGGCUUGUAAGUAAUUGUUGCAUGCGAAGAGAAAAUCUAUUUAAGUUGGGUCUUGCAACUGAGUUGAGUUGUUCUGGUGUUGCUCCAGCGAUCGACCGACGUGGGGACUGAUCCCGCUAAGGUGGUUGAGAGAAAUGAAGUGCAGCCAAAUACUGCUACCUGUAAAUCAAGUGGAUUAGGACAUUGCUUCUGUGCUAAAUUCUUCUCAUUCCAGAUCAUCUCAGGCGCCAGGAGAGAGUUCUGUCUCUAACGCGGAUUCUGAAUGGAUGACUAUACAAAGGGAGAAGUUCCUGCUACUAGCUCUCAAGGCAACUCAGGUGAUAUCUUGCAUUUUUUAUAGGCCAAAGAGGGCACCUCUAUAUUUUAAUGCAGAAUGUUACAGGUUUAAUAGGCCUCAUAAACAUGGAUUAAUAGGAGAGUUCGUCGCCCCAUAUCAAAUCUCUUGUCUUGCUCUUCUUGAAACUUAUGGUUAAGUCUGAUAAGGCCUACUCAACUGUUAAGAGAAUAGCUAAAGAUUGUGGGCUAUAACUAUUCUGUUAGUCCUAAUGGUCGUAUUUGGCUACUUUGGGAUUCUUCUUUUUUUAUAUUUCCAUCGUUAAUAUCUCUUCUCAAUGCAUUACACAGGGAUGAUAAGGUUUAUUGAUUGGCUUCCUUCAUUUAUGCUUCUAAUCCCUCGAGGAUAGACUCAAUUCUUUGGAGGGAACUUCAUUCUGUUGGCUCUCAUCAUAAUAUGCCUUGGCUUAUUGAGGAGAUUCAAAUAAUGUUCUCUGACCUUAAAAUAAAUUGGGUGGUUCCCCCCGGUCAUUGAAAGUGAAGUGACAGGCCCCAAAAGAAUUUAGUGCCACUUAGGGGUGGCAAUCUAGACCCAAACCUAAUAAUCUACCCAUACCCACUCACAAAAUAGUCCAACUAUACCCACCCACUUAACGAAGCGGAUCCUAAAUGGGUGGGUAUUGCUUCCAUACAGCCUAAAUGGUUCAUAACUAGACCCGCCCAUAACCAACCCAAUCUGAUCCACACCCACGCGUUCUGCGUUCUCCUUUCUCCCCUCUUUCUCAAACGCUCGAGCUCUAGUUCCUCUCUCUCCUCUCAAGCGCUCGAUUUCACCUCUCCCCAUCGAGGUUCCUCAUCUCUCUCCGAUCGAGCCAUAGUUCCUCUCGAUUAACAGGAGAAUCGAAUCUUCAACAGGAGAAUCGAGCCAUAGUUCCUCUCCGAUCGAGCCAUAGUUCCUCUCGAUCGAGCCAUAGUUCCCCAUCGAGCUUCCUCAUCUCUCUCCUGUUCAAAUUCAGGCCUUUGAUCGAGCUAUUACAACAUUCAGGUUUUCAAUCGAACUAAUCACUGAAUUUUGAGGUACAUUCUUAGUAGGGUUUCUUGAUCCAUCCUUCUUUCAAUUUUGGGUUUUUUUUAAUCCUAUCUCCUUUCAAUUUUAGGGUUUCUUGAUCAGGCCUUUGAUCGAGCUCUGAAGUUUUAAUCCGCUAAGCUCGCUGAAGAGAUGUCCUUAGGUUUUAUUUUCGCAUUUCCUCUCUGUGGCAAUUUGUCAAACAGUACAUCUGCAUUAGUUAUUUUGCAAAAAUAGCAUUCAGUUACUUAUUUCUGCUGUAAUUUUGUUUACGAUUCAUGUACUGUAGUUUCUAAAAUUUGGAGGUGACGAUAUAUAGCUCUAUUGAAGUCACAUGUUUCGUCAAUUUAGUUAACUUCGUUGGUUUAGUUGAUUAUUGCGAUAUGUUGUCUACUUAAUAGGUCUAUAUAAUUGUUUGAAUAAGUGUUUGGGAAAUUGAUUAAACUGUAAAUAUUUUAAUUAGAUUACUCUGUAAGUUUGGGGAAUAUUACCACCCAUACAACAAUCUAGUCAUUUUCUGCUAUAAGAUUUGAACUUUAUUCUGUUGAUUAUUGAGCAAUAUUGUUAUGUCAUUUUCUCCUUACCAUGUGUAUGAUGUGUGGCCCCUGUGUUCAACAGAAAAUUGAUAUUGACAUGGAUCUUGUGUUGGAAUUUGUUGGGUAGUGUUCUUUUUCUUAUUGUAGUUAUUUGUUAUAUACGAAGCUAUUUUAUUAACUUUUGACAUAUGAUUUGAUAAUGAAAAGUUAUUUUUCUUGUUUCAGUUACCAUGUCUUUGAAUGAAUUUACUGCAUGCGAUGAUGGUAGUGAAGCUGAUAAUGAAACUAUAUUUGUUUCAGGUUGGGAAAACUUACAAGCUUAAUGUUGGAUUAAUGGGGAGAUUAUAAACUUUAGAGUGUGAUUUUACUAACCUGAAGUGAGUAAGGGUUUUCAAAUGGAAAGAGCGAACAGUAGUUUGGUGGAAGAGGAGAUCGAAUGAAUUUUUUUUUAAUGAAGUUUGAACAUGCACUAUUUGGAUUAUGCUUUUAAAGUAAAACAAAGCGAAGUGAAACUAAUAUGUUGGUGAUAUACAUAACCGUUGUUCAACGUUUAAUGCAAGGGUAGUUUUUUCGAGCCAUGGAUUAGAAAGAAUGGGAGUAGAUUUGAUUGCUAGAGUAUUGGCUAAAGGUAUGAUCAAAUUCGCAUUGUUGUAUUUAUUUUGUGUGUUGUUAUCUUUAAAACUUUGAAGGCUAUGUAUGACUAGCUAGUAGGCUCAAAGGAGCUUUUAUAAUAAGGCAUCUUUGGAUGUUUGGAACCCUGGGAUGACUAGUGUUUUUCUUUUCCUUACUUUUGGAUAUACCUGCUUACCUUAUUUUGUCAACGAAAAAAAAUGGCAGAUUAGUAGCACCAUCAUUUGUUGUGUGCAUUGUGCCGGCAUUCUUGUAUUGACAUGUAAUGCUUCAUACAUUGUAAACAUCAAGAUUUGCAUAAAUGCUCUUGAUACUAGGAUAAACAAAUCCAUCUCUAUUUUCACUUAUGCAGUUUCAACCAUCUUCAAUUAUUCGCGUAAAACCCUUAAAAACAAACAGGACUACAGGACAGUUGCAGGCAGUUCACUUUAUCUGACACCAAUAAUUUCAAGCCUACAAAUGUAAGGAAAGGAUCAAGAUGCUACCUUGUUCUGAGAGUGCUAACGUUAAUUGUUUAUGUUUUGAAUUUUGCAAUUGAAUAGAGUUUUACUGUGUUUGAUCACUUUCAUAGCCCAAGAAAGUGAACUGUUUGUGGGGGUAUCAUAAUUUUAUUACCGAAGGGUACUUUUUUAAUCAACUUCGAAUACAUUCUUGAAUUUGUUUGAAUUGGAAUAUGUUAGUAUUUUUGGGGGGAUUAGUCUGUUUUGGUUUUAUAAUUCUCUUUUGGGGAACUUUCAGCAAUUGUUAUCGGUUAAGUUUUCUUUAAAUACUAUGCUUUACUUUAUGUGACAUCAAUAUUUAAAGAUAGGUGAUGAAAUUAACUGAUAUUACGUUACGUACCAUUGAGCUUGUGAGUGCUUUACUUUAUAUAUUGCAUCUGUGCCAAUAUCUAAACUGAUGAAUAAGUUCUCUAGUUCCUUUUAUGAUUUUUGCUUCUGUAUAUCUUGCUUCUGUGUAUUAAUACUUGCCAAUAAUCAGAUUAACUGGAAGAAAUAUCCUGAGUUUCAACUAGUCGUCCAGUCUCAGCUAGGGAACUCUUCAGAAAUAAGGUUUCCAAAUCCAUAUGAUAAGGGUAUCAUUAGCAACAUCAAAGACUUCAUAAACCCAUGGAUUAUAGCCUUCAUGUAAUCAAUUUGCUGUCUUGAAGCUGAGAUCCUUGAGCAUGUUAUAAUGAUCAGAUGUACAUUAUUCUCAUCGUUAUUUUUAAGUGAUCAUUGCUAAACAUUCAUUAUGAGUUCACACAGUAGUUUUAUUUAGAGUUAUGCGACAGAAUGGAAAGAGAGAAAUGUUAUCCUGUUACUGUAAUGUUUAAUGUUUUGAUUUCGGGUCUUUGCAAGCAAAGGAGAGUUAGAGAGGGGGAUCGAGCUCUUAAAAGUAAUGAAGCUUAAAGGAUGUUAUCCGAACUCUGGAAGUUAUCAAGCGCUUGUUUAUGGUUUGGUUGAAUCGAAAAUGUUUGUAGAGGCUAAAGAUUUCAUGUUUAUGAUGGUCUCUGAAGGCUUUUGCCCCAGUUUUUUGUUGUAUAAAUUGGUAAUUGAGGGUUUUUGCAGUGAGAAG